UUCCAAUUUGUUUUUGUAGGUGACAGCUGUGAAAUUUUCUCUAUCCUCAGGCAGUCAGAAUCAAAAGCAAGAGUCCGUUUUGGCCAAACCACUUAAGGAUCAAGCUUUUGCUAGUCCUGAUAAAGUGGCAGAAAUUGUUCAGAAGGUGAGUGCUGCUAUUCAGCAAGAGUUACCAACAGUAAUAGAAAAGAUGAAGCUUUAUCUGCAGAAUCCAUCAACCCGAACAAUUCUUUUCAAACCAAUAAAGACAAACAUUGUGGAAGCCCAUGUACAAGUACAAUCCCUGUUAAAAGCAGAAUACUCCCCUGAAGAAAUUCAAAGCAUCAUCAAUAUAGUGUCCAUGCGGGAUCUGCAAGCAUAACUUGAUAAUCUCCUGUAAGGUGUUCGUGAAGUCCAUUGAGCUAGUUAAUGCCAACUCUUUCCAUCAAUAAGGUGAGCUUUACCCUAAAGAGCAGUUUUAGGUCUGCCACUAUAGUUUCUUGAGGUUUCUGGUCGAUUUGUAGUGAAUUAUGAAAUAUAGAUGUAUCAGGAGGUGUAGCUUUAUUUUAUAGAAUCCAUAUCAAUUUAUAUAUUUUGGUUGGGGGUUGGAGAUUCUAUGUUUAAAAUCUUCAUUAGUUAUUCUUUCAUAUAUUCAUGUUGCUUUUGAUAAUGCUUGAAUGAUGAUUUUGUCAAUAAGGAGAUGAUGCUUGAUUAAUUUUGUUGCUU